rnacentral:rRNA from 1 species
UACAGAGGAGCCAAGCGUUGUCCGGAUUGACUGGGCGUAAAGCGCACGCAGGCGGUUGCGCGCGUGGGGUGUGAAAUCUGGCCGCUUAACGGCCAGGCGCCAUCCCAUACGGCGCGACUGGAGCGAUGCAGAGGUCGGUGGAAUUGCCGGUGUAGUGGUGAAAUGCGUAGAUAUCGGGAGGAACACCUGUGGCGAAAGCGGCGCACUGGACCACAACUGACGCUGAGGCGCGAAAGCUAGGGGAGCAAACAGG